GACGAACGCUGGCGGCGUGCUUAACACAUGCAAGUCGAACGAUGAACCCGGAGCUUGCUCCGGCGGAUUAGUGGCGAACGGGUGAGUAACACGUGAGUAACCUGCCCUUGACUCUGGGAUAACUGCUAGAAAUGGUAGCUAAUACCGGAUACGACCCUCGGUGGCAUCACCAGGGGGUGGAAAGAAUUUCGGUCAAGGAUGGACUCGCGGCCUAUCAGCUAGUGGGUGAGGUAACGGCUCACCAAGGCGACGACGGGUAGCCGGCCUGAGAGGGUGACCGGCCACACUGGGACUGAGACACGGCCCAGACUCCUACGGGAGGCAGCAGUGGGGAAUAUUGCACAAUGGGCGCAAGCCUGAUGCAGCAACGCCGCGUGAGGGAUGACGGCCUUCGGGUUGUAAACCUCUUUUAGUAGGGAAGAAGCGAAAGUGACGGUACCUGCGGAAAAAGCACCGGCUAACUACGUGCCAGCCGCCGCAGUAA
rnacentral:rRNA from 1 species